CAAUAGCGUAUAUUAAAGCUGUUGCGGUUAAAAAGCUCGUAGUUGGAUUUCUGUCAAGGACAACUGGUCCGCCCUCCGGGUGAGCACAUAGUUUGGUCUUGACAUCUUGCUGGAAGCUGUUGCUGCACUUGGCUGUGUGGCGCAGUGUUCAGCACUUUCACUUUGAGGAAAUUGGAGUGUUUCAAGCAGGCACAUGCCUUUGGACACAGUAGCACGGAAUAAUUAGAUUGGGCUUUUGCUCCAAUUUGUCGGUUUCUGGAGCUGAGGUGAGUAUUAAUGGGGAUUGUUGGGGGCAUCCGAAUUUAGCCGUCAGAGGUGAAAUUCUUGGAUCUGCUAAAGACGGACAACUGCGAAAGCGUUUGCCCAGGAUGUUUUCAUUGA
rnacentral:rRNA from 1 species